rnacentral:rRNA from 1 species
CGCGUAGGUGGUAGUGUAAGUCUGGGGUGGAAUCCCAGGGCUUAACCCUGGAACUGCCUUGGAAACUGCAUUACUUGAGUCAGUGAGGGGAGGGUAGAAUUCCUGGUGUAGCGGUGAAAUGCGUAGAUAUCAGGAGGAAGGCCUGUGGCGAAGGCGGCCCUCUGGCGCUGGACUGACACUGAGGCGCGAAAGCGUGGGGAGCAAACAGGAUUAGAUACCCUGGUAGUCCACGCCCUAAACGGUGGGCACCAGGUGUAGGGCUCGUAAGGGUUCUGUGCCGAAGGGAAACCAUUAAGUGCCCCGCCUGGGGAGUACGGCCGCAAGGUUGAA